AGACGAAGAGACCCACAGAUGAUUCAAACACUGCUGUACUUUAAUGGUUACUGCAAAAUACCACAGUUCACGAUGAUUCUACAGCGAUACUCUAGAACUGCUGUAACGUUCGAGUAGACAUAAGAUCACUGGGUGGAUUGUGUUUUUACCAACAUAUGAAACUGUAAUUAUCCAUGAGCACCGUACUGCCUUUGGAGAUACUGCUGGGACUGUGACUCAGACCUCCCUUGAGACAACUGGUCAUUAGGAGUCACAGUGAUGUGGAAUCAACUUUGUCUUUCUGAAAAGCUGGAGAUAUUCAUCAUAGCCUGGACUGCCUGGGAUCUACAUGUUUUCUCCGUGUUGUAAUGAUGUGAAACACUUUAUUAGCAGAGGAAGACAUUUUUAGGAGAAGCAUUUUGAAUCAGAAGGCUUAAGAAGAAUUCUGCUUUUCUCCCAACCAAUUUGUUGGAAAAUCAGUCAAAAUCUAAUUUUGAUGUUAUGCAAGUUCACUGGGGGCCAUGAAGCACCUGACACUUGGAUUGGACUUAAUCUUAAACCUCUGGAGUUCAAGACCUUUUAAAAGGGCUAAAUAAACAAUCUCUACAUGUAAAAGGC
rnacentral:sRNA from 1 species